GAUGAACGCUAGCGGGAGGCUUAAUACAUGCAAGUCGAGCGCUCUGACUUCGGUUGGGGAGCGGCGCACGGGUGAGUAACACGUACGCAAUCUACCUUAAGCUGGGGGAUAGCCCUGGGAAACUGGGAGCAAUCCGCCAUAGUAUUUGAAGAUGGCAUCACCUUCAAAUUAAAGUGAUAGCGGCUUAAGAUGAGCGUGCGUCCGAUUAGCUAGUUGGCGAGGUAACGGCUCACCAAGGCGACGAUCAGUAAGGGGCGUGAGAGCGUGGCCCCUCACACGGGUACUGAGACACGGACCCGACUCCUACGGGAGGCAGCAGUAAGGAAUAUUGGACAAUGGGCGGAAGCCUGAUCCAGCCAUCCCGCGUGCUUGAUGAAGGCCCUCUGGGUCGUAAAGAGCUUUAGACUGGGAAGAAACCACUUCUCGUGAGAGGUGUUGACGGUACCAGUAGAAUAAGCACCGGCUAACUCCGUGCCAGCAGCCGCGGUAAUGUAGUCG
rnacentral:rRNA from 1 species